rnacentral:rRNA from 1 species
ACACGACUCUCGGCAACGGAUAUCUAGGCUCUCGCAUCGAUGAAGAACGUAGCAAAAUGCGAUACUUGGUGUGAAUUGCAGAAUCCCGUGAAUCAUCGAGUUUUUGAACGCAAGUUGCGCCCGAAGCCAUCCGGCCAAGGGCACGUCUGCCUGGGCGUCACGCAUCUCGUCGCCACCCCUCCUCGUCCUC